AGAGUUUGAUCAUGGCUCAGAUUGAACGCUGGCGGCAUGCCUUACACAUGCAAGUCGAACGGUAGAGUAGCAAUACUUGAGAGUGGCGAACGGGUGAGUAAUAUAUCGGAACGUGCCCAAUCGUGGGGGAUAACGUAGCGAAAGUUACGCUAAUACCGCAUACGAUCUACGGAUGAAAGCGGGGGAUCGCAAGACCUCGCGCGAAUGGAGCGGCCGAUAUCAGAUUAGCUAGUUGGCGGGGUAAAAGCCCACCAAGGCAACGAUCUGUAGCUGGUCUGAGAGGACGACCAGCCACACUGGGACUGAGACACGGCCCAGACUCCUACGGGAGGCAGCAGUGGGGAAUUUUGGACAAUGGGCGCAAGCCUGAUCCAGCAAUGCCGCGUGCAGGACGAAGGCCUUCGGGUUGUAAACUGCUUUUGUACGGAACGAAACGGUCCUUUCUAAUACAGGGGGCUAAUGACGGUACCGUAAGAAUAAGCACCGGCUAACUACGUGCCAGCAGCCGCGGUAAUACGUAGGGUGCGAGCGUUAAUCGGAAUUACUGGGCGUAAAGCGUGCGCAGGCGGUUAUAUAAGACAGUUGUGAAAUCCCCGGGCUUAACCUGGGAACUGCAUCUGUGACUGUAUAGCUAGAGUACGGCAGAGGGGGAUGGAAUUCCGCGUGUAGCAGUGAAAUGCGUAGAUAUGCGGAGGAACACCGAUGGCGAAGGCAAUCCCCUGGGCCUGUACUGACGCUCAUGCACGAAAGCGUGGGGAGCAAACAGGAUUAGAUACCCCGGUAGUCC
rnacentral:rRNA from 1 species